rnacentral:rRNA from 1 species
UACAGAGGGUGCGAGCGUUGUCCGGAAUCACUGGGCGUAAAGGGCGCGUAGGCGGUCUGCUAAGCGUGUGGUGAAAGCUCGGGGCUCAACCCCGGGUCGGCCGUGCAGACUGCUUGGCUUGAGCAUAGUAGAGGCAGGUGGAAUUCCGGGUGUAGCGGUGGAAUGCGUAGAGAUCCGGAAGAACACCGGUGGCGAAGGCGGCCUGCUGGGCUAUUGCUGACACUGAGGCGCGACAGCGUGGGGAGCAAACAGG